rnacentral:rRNA from 1 species
UACGUAGGGAGCAAGCGUUGUCCGGAAUCAUCGGGCGUAAAGAGCGUGUAGGCGGUCCUGUAAGUCCGCUGUGAAAGUCAAGGGCUCAACCCUUGAAUGCCGGUGGAUACUGCAGGACUAGAGUCCGGAAGAGGCGAGUGGAAUUCCUGGUGUAGCGGUGAAAUGCGCAGAUAUCAGGAGGAACACCGAUGGCGAAGGCAGCUCGCUGGGACGGUACUGACGCUGAGGCGCGACAGCGUGGGGAGCAAACAGG